rnacentral:rRNA from 1 species
GUGGAAUUCGCCCUUUUCNGGUUGAUCCUGCCNGANGACAUUGCUAUUGGGAUUCGAUUUANCCAUGCUAGUUGUACGAACUGAGAUUCGUAGCAGAUAGCUCAGUAACACGGUGGCCAAGCUACCCUUCAGCCCACAAUACUCUCGGGAAACUGAGGCUAAUGGUGGAUACGGUACGCACGCUGGAAUGCAGCGUACUCCAAACGCUCCGGCGCUGAAGGAUGCGGCUGCGGCCGAUUAGGUAGACGGUGGGGUAACGGCCCACCGUGCCAAUAAUCGGUACGGGUGAUGAGAGUCAGAGCCCGGAGACGGAAUCUGANACAAGAUUCCGGGCCCUACGGGGCGCAGCAGGCGCGAAACCUUUACACUGCACGGAAGUGCGAUAGGGGAAUCCCAAGUGCGAGGGCAUAUUANCCCUCGCUUUUGUUGACUGUAAGGAGGUCAACGAAUAAGAGCUGGGCAAGACCGGUGCCAGCCGCCNCGGUAAUACCNGCAGCUCNAGUGAUGUCCAAUAUUAUUGGGCCUAAAGCGUCCGUAGCUGGCCAGCCAAGUUCGUCGGGAAAUCCACCUGCCCAACAGGUGGGCGUCCGGCUAAAACUGUCUGGCUUGGAACCGGAAGGCUCAAAGGGUACGUCCGGAGUANGAGUGAAAUCCCGUAAUCCCGGACGGACCACCNAUGGCGAAAGCACUCUGAGANGACAGAUUCNACANUGAGGGACGAAAGCUAGGGUCUCGAACCGGAUUAGAUACCCNGGUAGUCCUANCUGUAAACNAUGCUCGUUUANGUGUGGCACCCACUACNAGUGGGGUGCUGUGCCCUANGGAAGCCGCUAAACGAGNCCGCCUGGG